rnacentral:rRNA from 1 species
GAUGAACGCUGGCGGCGUGCCUAAUACAUGCAAGUCGAGCGAACGGACGAGAAGCUUGCUCCUCUGAUGUUAGCGGCGGACGGGUGAGUAACACGUGGAUAACCUACCUAUAAGACUGGGAUAACAUCGGGAAACCGGAGCUAAUACCGGAUAAUAUUUUGAACCGCAUGGUUCAAAAGUGAAAGACGGUCUUGCCGUCACCUAUAGAUGGAUCCGCGCUGCAUUAGCUAGUUGGUAAGGUAACGGCUUACCAAGGCAACGAUGCAUAGCCGACCUGAGAGGGUGAUCGGCCACACUGGAACUGAGACACGGUCCAGACUCCUACGGGAGGCAGCAGUAGGGAAUCUUCCGCAAUGGGCGAAAGCCUGACGGAGCAACGCCGCGUGAGUGAUGAAGGUUUUCGGAUCGUAAAACUCUGUUAUUAGGGAAGAACAUAUGUGUAAGUAACUGUGCGCAUCUUGACGGUACCUAAUCAGAAAGCCACGGCUAACUACGUG